UGCUUCAAAAUAUCGGUGUUGGGUAAAAGGUCACAUUUUACACAGUACCGAUAUUGUGAAGCA
rnacentral:pre_miRNA from 2 species